rnacentral:rRNA from 1 species
UGGGGAAUAUUGCACAAUGGGCGAAAGCCUGAUGCAGCAACGCCGCGUGAGUGAUGAAGGCCUUCGGGUUGUAAAAGCUCUGUCUUUUGGGACGAUAAUGACGGUACCAAAGGAGGAAGCCACGGCUAACUACGUGCCAGCAGCCGCGGUAAUACGUAGGUGGCAAGCGUUGUCCGGAUUUACUGGGCGUAAAGGAUGCGUAGGCGGAUUUUUAAGUGAGAUGUGAAAUACCCGGGCUUAACUUGGGUGCUGCAUUUCAAACUGGGAAUCUAGAGUGCGGGAGAGGAGAAUGGAAUUCCUAGUGUAGCGGUGAAAUGCGUAGAGAUUAGGAAGAACACCAGUGGCGAAGGCGAUUCUCUGGACCGUAACUGACGCUGAGGCAUGAAAGCGUGGGUAGCAAACAGGAUUAGAUACCCUGGUAGUCCACGCCGUAAACGAUGAGUACUAGGUGUAGGAGGUAUCGACCCCUUCUGUGCCGCAGUUAACACAAUAAGUACUCCGCCUGGGAAGUACGAUCGCAAGAUUUAAAAAGCCUUAAAGGAAUUGACGGGGGUCAUAGCUGUUUUCC